CCUACGGGAGGCAGCAGUGAGGAAUAUUGGUCAAUGGACUUACGUCUGAACCAGCCAAGUAGCGUGAGGGAUGACUGCCCUAUGGGUUGUAAACCUCUUUUGUAAGGGAGUAAUUUGUUCUACGUGUAGCGUUAUCGAGAGUACCUGUAGAAAAAGCAUCGGCUAAUCCCGUGCCAGCAGCCGCGGUAAUACGGAGGAUGCGAGCGUUAUCCGGAUUUUUUGGGUUUAAAGGGUGCGUAGGCGGAAUGCCAAGUCAGCGGUAAAAGCGCGGGGCUCAACCUCGCUCCGCCGUUGAAACUGGCGUUCUUGAGUGGGCGAGAAGUAUGCGGAAUGCGUGGUGUAGCGGUGAAAUGCAUAGAUAUCACGCAGAACUCCGAUUGCGAAGGCAGCAUACCGGCGCCCAACUGACGCUGAAGCACGAAAGCGUGGGUAUCGAACAGGAUUAGAUACCCUUGUAGUC
rnacentral:rRNA from 1 species